CUUGGUUAUGGUGAUAUGGUACCAGCAACAAUUAUGGGUAAAGUUGUUGGCGGUGUUUGUUCCCUUAGUGGCGUUUUAGUAAUUGCACUUCCAGUUCCAGUAAGUUUUAUGUGUCUAUG
rfam:Wuchereria bancrofti cont1.15268, whole genome shotgun sequence.